rnacentral:rRNA from 1 species
ACUCCUACGGGAGGCAGCAGUGGGAAUAUUGGACAAUGGGGGAACCCUGAUCCAGCCAUGCCGCGUGUGUGAAGAAGGCCUUAUGGUUGUAAAGCACUUUAAGCGAGGAGGAGGCUACUGAGACUAUACUCUUGGAUAGUGGACGUUACUCGCAGAAUAAGCNCCGGCUAACUACGUGCCAGCAGCCGCGGUAAUACGUAGGGUGCAAGCGUUGUCCGGAAUUAUUGGGCGUAAAGAGCUCGUAGGCGGUUUGUCACGUCUGCUGUGAAAAUCCAAGGCUCAACCUUGGACUUGCAGUGGGUACGGGCAGGCUAGAUGCGGUAGGGGAGAUGGGAAUUCCUGGGUGUAGCGGUGGAAUGCGCAGAUAUCAGGAGGAACACCAAUGGCGAAGGCANAUCUCUGGGCCGUAACUGACGCUGAGGAGCGAAAGCGUGGGGAGC